GUGAGCGAGGUGUGAGUGUCGCC
rnacentral:siRNA from 1 species